GAUGAACGCUGGCGGCGUGCCUAAUACAUGCAAGUCGAGCGAACAGACGAGGAGCUUGCUCCUCUGACGUUAGCGGCGGACGGGUGAGUAACACGUGGAUAACCUACCUAUAAGACUGGGAUAACUUCGGGAAACCGGAGCUAAUACCGGAUAAUAUAUUGAACCGCAUGGUUCAAUAGUGAAAGACGGUUUUGCUGUCACUUAUAGAUGGAUCCGCGCCGCAUUAGCUAGUUGGUAAGGUAACGGCUUACCAAGGCUACGAUGCGUAGCCGACCUGAGAGGGUGAUCGGCCACACUGGAACUGAGACACGGUCCAGACUCCUACGGUAGGCAGCAGUAGGGAAUCUUCCGCAAUGGGCGAAAGCCUGACGGAGCAACGCCGCGUGAGUGAUGAAGGUCUUCGGAUCGUAAAACUCUGUUAUGAGGGAAGAACAAAUGUGUAAGUAACUAUGCACGUCUUGACGGUACCUAAUCAGAAAGCCACGGCUAACUACGUG
rnacentral:rRNA from 1 species